GCUCAGUAACACGUAGUCAACCUGCCCUGGAGACCAGGAUAACCCCGGGAAACUGGGAUUAAUACUGGAUAGGUCAUCUCAUCUGGAAGGAGAGAUGGCUUAAAGGGGUGUGUGAGCUUCUUUCAUACACCUGCUCCAGGAUGGGACUGCGACUGAUCAGGCUGUUGGCGGGGUAAUGGCCCACCAAACCAGUAACCAGUACGGGCCUUGAGAGAGGGGGCCCGGAGAUGGACACUGAGAGAAGGGUCCAGGUCCUACGGGGCGCAGCAGGCGCGAAACCUUCGCAAUGCGCGAAAGCGUGACGAGGUUAAUCCGAGUGGUUCCCUCUGAGGGAAUCUUUUGUCGGCUCUAAAAAGGCCGGCGAAUAAGGGGAGGGCAAGUCUGGUGUCAGCCGCCGCGGUAAUACCAGCUCCUCGAGUGGUCGGGGCGAUUAUUGGGCCUAAAGCAUCCGUAGCCGGUUCUGUAGGUCCUCUGUUAAAUCCAACGGCUUAACCGUUGGCUCGCAGAGGAUACCGCAGGACUAGGAGGCGGGAGAGGCAGACGGUACUCUACGUGUAGGGGUAAAAUCCUUUGAUCCGUAGAAGACCACCAGUGGCGAAGGCGGUCUGCCAGAACGCGCUCGACGGUGAGGGAUGAAAGCUGGGGGAGCGAACCGGAUUANAUACCCGGGUAGUCCCCGCCGUAAACGAUGCGAGCUAGAUGAUUCGGUCGC
rnacentral:rRNA from 1 species